GAUGAAGAACGCAGUGAAAUGCGAUAAGUAAUGCGAAUUGCAGAAUCCGUGAGUCAUCGAAUCUUUGAACGCACAUUGCGCCCUUUGGUAUUCCGAAGGGCAUGCCUGUUCGAGCGUCAUUAUCACCACUCAAGCCCGGCUUGCUGUUGGUGGCAGCGCAGCCGGUCAACCGGCUACGCUCCACCCAAAGAUAAUGACGGCGUCUGCGAGGACUCCUGUACAUUGAGCUUUCGGGCACGUACAUGGCUAGAAGUCCAGGCGCCGGUCGACGUCCUCCGGGACACUUUUUACCAAGGUUGACCUCGGAUCAGGUAGGGAUACCCGCUGAACUUAAGCAUAUCAAUGAGCGAGGA
rnacentral:misc_RNA from 1 species